CCUACGGGAGGCAGCAGUGGGGAAUAUUGCACAAUGGGGGAAACCCUGAUGCAGCAACGCCGCGUGAGUGAUGACGGCCUUCGGGUUGUAAAGCUCUGUCUUCAGGGACGAUAAUGACGGUACCUGAGGAGGAAGCCACGGCUAACUACGUGCCAGCAGCCGCGGUAAUACGUAGGUGGCGAGCGUUGUCCGGAUUUACUGGGCGUAAAGGGAGCGUAGGCGGACUUUUAAGUGAGAUGUGAAAUACCCGGGCUCAACUUGGGUGCUGCAUUUCAAACUGGAAGUCUAGAGUGCAGGAGAGGAGAAUGGAAUUCCUAGUGUAGCGGUGAAAUGCGUAGAGAUUAGGAAGAACACCAGUGGCGAAGGCGAUUCUCUGGACUGUAACUGACGCUGAGGCUCGAAAGCGUGGGGAGCAAACAGGAUUAGAUACCCCAGUAGU
rnacentral:rRNA from 1 species